rnacentral:rRNA from 1 species
GCAACCUGGCGGCGAGUGGCGAACGGGUGAGUAAUAUAUCGGAACGUACCCUGGAGUGGGGGAUAACGUAGCGACAGUUACGCUAAUACCGCAUACGAUCUAAGGAUGAAAGUGGGGGAUCGCAAGACCUCAUGCUCCUGGAGCGGCCGAUAUCUGAUUAGCUAGUUGGUAGGGUAAAAGCCUACCAAGGCAUCGAUCAGUAGCUGGUCUGAGAGGACGACCAGCCACACUGGAACUGAGACACGGUCCAGACUCCUACGGGAGGCAGCAGUGGGGAAUUUUGGACAAUGGGCGCAAGCCUGAUCCAGCAAUGCCGCGUGAGUGAAGAAGGCCUUCGGGUUGUAAAGCUCUUUUGUCAGGGAAGAAACGGGUCCUUCUAAUACAGGGGCCUAAUGACGGUACCUGAAGAAUAAGCACCGGCUAACUACGUGCCAGCAGCCGCGGUAAUACGUAGGGUGCAAGCGUUAAUCGGAAUUACUGGGCGUAAAGCGUGCGCAGGCGGUUUUGUAAGUCUGUUGUGAAAUCCCCGGGCUCAACCUGGGAAUGGCAAUGGAGACUGCAAGGCUAGAGUUUGGCAGAGGGGGGUAGAAUUCCACGUGUAGCAGUGAAAUGCGUAGAUAUGUGGAGGAACACCGAUGGCGAAGGCAGCCCCCUGGGUCAAAACUGACGCUCAUGCACGAAAGCGUGGGGAGCAAACAGGAUUAGAUACCCUGGUAGUCCACGCCCUAAACGAUGUCUACUAGUUGUCGGGUCUUAAUUGACUUGGUAACGCAGCUAACGCGUGAAGUAGACCGCCUGGGGAGUACGGUCGCAAGGUUGAAACUCAAAGGAAUUGACGGGGGCCCGCACAAGCAGUGGAGCAUGUGGUUUAAUUCGACGCAACGCGCAGAACCUUACCAGGACUAGACGGGACCGUGAGCGCCGCGAAAGCGGCGGGCUUCUUCGGAAGAGCGGUCGUCAGGUGCUGCAUGGUUGUCGUCAGCUCGUGUCGUGAGAUGUUGGGUUAAGUCCCGCAACGAGCGCAACCCUCGUCGUGUGUUGCCAGCGGUUCGGCCGGGCACUCACACGAGACUGCCGGUGACAAACCGGAGGAAGGUGGGGAUGACGUCAAAUCCGCAUGGCCUUUAUGUCCUGGGCUACACACGUGCUACAAUGGCGCCGACAACGGGCCGCGACCUCGCGAGGGGCAGCGAAUCCUUCAAACGGCGUCUCAGUUCGGAUUGCAGGCUGCAACUCGCCU